CCUACGGGUGGCAGCAGUGGGGAAUAUUGGACAAUGGGCGAAAGCCUGAUCCAGCCAUGCCGCGUGUGUGAAGAAGGCCUUCGGGUUGUAAAGCACUUUCAGUGGGGAAGAAAGCCUUGGGGCUAAUACCCUCGAGGAAGGACAUCACCCACAGAAGAAGCACCGGCUAACUCCGUGCCAGCAGCCGCGGUAAUACGGAGGGUGCGAGCGUUAAUCGGAAUUACUGGGCGUAAAGCGCGCGUAGGCGGUCUGAUAAGCCGGUUGUGAAAGCCCGGGCUCAACCUGGGAACGGCAUCCGGAACUGUCAGGCUAGAGUGCAGGAGAGGAAGGUAGAAUUCCCGGUGUAGCGGUGAAAUGCGUAGAGAUCGGGAGGAAUACCAGUGGCGAAGGCGGCCUUCUGGACUGACACUGACGCUGAGGUGCGAAAGCGUGGGUAGCAAACAGGAUUAGAUACCCUAGUAGUC
rnacentral:rRNA from 1 species